UUGAACGCUGGCGGCAUGCCUUACACAUGCAAGUCGAACGGCAGCACGGGAGCAAUCCUGGUGGCGAGUGGCGAACGGGUGAGUAAUAGUAUCGGAACGUGCCCGGUCGUGGGGGAUAACGUAGCGAAAGCUACGCUAAUACCGCAUACGAUCUACGGAUGAAAGCGGGGGAUCGCAAGACCUCGCNCGGGAUUGGAGCGGCCGAUAUCAGAUUAGGUAGUUGGUGAGGUAAAGGCUCACCAAGCCGACGAUCUGUAGCUGGUCUGAGAGGACGACCAGCCACACUGGGACUGAGACACGGCCCAGACUCCUACGGGAGGCAGCAGUGGGGAAUUUUGGACAAUGGGCGCAAGCCUGAUCCAGCAAUGCCGCGUGCAGGAUGAAGGCCUUCGGGUUGUAAACUGCUUUUGUACGGAACGAAACGGUGAGCUCUAAUACAGUUUGCUAAUGACGGUACCGUAAGAAUAAGCACCGGCUAACUACGUG
rnacentral:rRNA from 1 species